rnacentral:pre_miRNA from 1 species
UGUGUACUCCUUCCGUUCCAAAAUACUUGACUUCCAUUUGUCCAAAAAUGUAUGUACCUAUAUACUAAGACAUGUCUAGAUACAUAUAUAUUUUGACAAAUAGAAGGCAUGUAUUGUGCAACGGAGGGAGUAGAAU